UUCCUGGUGGUCCAGUGGCUAAGACGCUGAGCUCCCAAAGCAGGGGGCCCGGGUUCAAUCCCUGAUCAGGAAU
rnacentral:tRNA from 1 species